rnacentral:rRNA from 1 species
UGGGGAAUAUUGGACAAUGGGCGAAAGCCUGAUCCAGCAAUACCGCGUGUGUGAAGAAGGCCUUAGGGUUGUAAAGCACUUUCAAUUGGAAGGAAAACCUCGAAGCUAAUACCUUCGAGUUUGACAUUACCUUUAGAAGAAGCACCGGCUAACUCCGUGCCAGCAGCCGCGGUAAUACGGAGGGUGCAAGCGUUAAUCGGAAUUACUGGGCGUAAAGCGUGCGUAGGCGGUUUACUAAGUCAGAUGUGAAAGCCCUGGGCUUAACCUGGGAACUGCAUUUGAAACUGGUAGACUCGAGUUUAAGAGAGGUAAGUGGAAUUUCAGGUGUAGCGGUGAAAUGCGUAGAGAUCUGAAGGAACACCAGUGGCGAAGGCGACUUACUGGCUUAAAACUGACGCUG